AAUGUUUACCAUUGCUGAUUAUGAUCUUCAAUAUUCUGAUGGAACCUCCUCUUGCUUGAGCCAAGAACUGUUUGAGCUCGGGCGUAGCUGCAGUAAUCAGAUAUAAGGCAAAACAAAGUUAAAGAAACAAACAGUGGUUCUGCAGGUGAAAGCAACUGAGACAGAGUUUGUUCCUGAUCUGGUCUCAGUCUGGUUACCAAACCCUGCGAUCUCAUGAAUGAUGUAAGAUCAGGUGAGAAAGAGGAACACUUCCGUUAACCAGUCCCCCCAGUGCUCCAGUGAGCGGCCUCUCCUCCGAUGGCAGACCGAUACAGAAGCACGCACAAGUGACAUAAACGCCUGGAGGAUGACUCGG